UAAUGAUUGAUUGGCUUUCGGCUGCUGUAAUUAUCUUGAAUUCGAUGAUCCACGAUCGAAGCAACAACAAUGGCGACGCGUUAUUCGGCGGUUCGAAAUCCCGCCUCAUCUCUCUGGAGUCGCUUUCAAGAUUCGACGGCUCCUGGCAUUCCUUCGAUACUCCUCUCUACAAGGCAUAUCUAUGAUAGGUGCGUGUUGCUGAGUAUAACAAAGUUCAUAGUCAACCUAGUGGUAUAAACUGAAAGCAAAGUGGUAGAUCAUCCAAGAACCUGUAUGAGAGAAGGGAUUAUGCUCUUUAUAGUGUGACAUUGUUCACUGGUGAUGCCAACAACAUUCAACUUUAGAACUAAAGCAUCUGAAAGAGAUUUGUGAUUUCGAAUAUAAGCUGGAAACAAGAGAGUCGGAAGCAGGAGCCUGAGAAGCUGAUGCAAGAUCAAGAAACACUUACAAGCUCCAUUCUGCAAUGGUGCUAUGCCUGUUAUGGGAGUUGCUACUAGUUCUGUGGAGCUUCUGACAUCAUUACAUGGUUUUAUUUGUGGUUCUGAAAACUGUAUCAAUUCUGUGAAUAAAGCUCGUAAAAUAAUCUGGUAUGAUCUGGUAGGUAAUAUGGGUCCUGCUGGCUGGUGACAUGUGAAUUUGUCAUUAUGUAAAUAUUAUUUUAUCUCAGUCCCACUUCAUGAAUCUUGCUCAACCCAUCAUACCGAAUCUAGGUCCACUUAUUACCCAGAUAUCUAGCACUUGAUUAGCUUUUUAACUAGCAAUGGUUGACUAUUUUAAGAACAGCAUCCAUAGGUUGCUAUUCACUGGAGUAUUCUAAGUUCUAACCAUGUGGAUAGUGGUACAAUGCUGCCAAUAAUUUGUUAUGUCCUAGAUAAUGGAAUUCUGAAAAGUAAACCUCUAGACUAGUACAGUAUUUGAAUUAGUGGAGCGCCCGAAUUUCUUACCAGAUUAGGUAUGGAAACUCCACAGUUAACUCUGUAGACAUAUCACUCAUUAUUUGCUAAAUUCCUGAUUCUGGGUCACUUUUGACUUGGUGGAGCUUGUAUGUGUGAACCUGAGCAUGCAGGUUUUUAGAAUGGGAAGUCUAUCAUGCGGAGAAUGUUGCAUGUUUAAUUGCGGAGAGUGUUGUCUAGAAAAGCCAUGCUCAAAUUGGACACCACAGAAUUGCAUAAUUGAGAUUGAUGCCUUGCUAGGAUGGCAGAUUAAAAUUGGACAGACUGUGUGAAGUUGCGGGCAGCAUAAAAGCAUAUUAGAUGACAAAGUUUAGGUUGAAGUGCUUUUAUGAGAUAGGACAGGGUCAAGGUUAGCAAAGUGGGUGGAGGGCAUGGUGUAACCAAAUGCAUUUCCCCAAAUUAAGUUUCAGAGUGAAAUAUGAUCUGUCCAGCUGACCAUAAAAAAUUUAGCAACGCUAUGUUGGUGUGCAGAUGUGAAUCAUUAUGUUGAAGGGAGGUAUCCUUUUGUCUCAGCAUGUUCAUUGAUGUGAUCACUGUGAUGGAAUGAACAUUUAAAUCUGAUAAAUUCGCAUUGAUGUAAACAAUCUCAAGUUGACCUAACUUAAUUUACAGUAGGAAAAUCCCCGUUUCCUAUUUUGUUUAGGAUCAUACAAAAAGAAAGAAGGUAAAGCUUUUAAAAACAGAGAGGAUUGAUGGAAUAUAGACUUGCCUUUGUAGGAGUCUGAUUAUGCACAUUUAUCUGCUUAUACAAGCAUGAUAUGCUGGAACUGUUGCUAAGCCUUGAUUCCAUUUUUCGAUCCAUUUUUAUCUACUAUCACAGAUGUGUACCCCAAAGUGCUUAGGAAAAUCAUAGUGGACAUUCUUGGACCAAAAGUGGCAACAAAUUAACUCCGACUUACUUGUGCACUGAUUCACUCGGAGGGCAUACAAGGCGCAUUAUUCUUGCAUUAUUUAAGUUGCUGAACCCAAAGUGGCCUCCUGGAAUUUUUUUUUCUAGUGUUUGACAUAUUCUUGUAGAAUCUAGUCUUUAACUGCAUGAUACAAUGCAGGUUUUCAGUUUGUGGAUGCGCUGUACUGUAUGUUUAUUUGCAGAGAAUAUCCUGAGAUAUGGCCUGCCACCAUCUUCUUGGUAAUUGAACUGUAUUUCUCUCUAGUACUACUGUCAUUUGCAUUGGCACCUUCCAUGGUAAGUGAGAAGAACGCACGCAGUACAUGAGAGUAACUCUGUGACAUUUCCAACAGGGGGAAGUAAGAUACGAAUCCAACUCUGAGGGCUGCAAGUGGCAACGUUUCUGUUGUCUCAAAUGGAAAAGCUUUGAACUCUGCAUUUCGGUCAUUAUCCUGUUGCUUCAUAGCCAAGUGUUGUCCUGAUCUGGUCUGCACUUUACUGGAAAUAUGACGACGAAGGAGUGAUGGGCGGCCUGGGAGGCGACGGUGAUGGGCAUCCCUUUGUCUCCUUCACCAUAAAUCUCCUGUGAAAGGGCAAGUUAUUCUACUGUCAAUGCCGAAAACACUCGGUUCGGUUCGGUUCGGUCCAGCCUGCAAUCAUAAGUAAAUAUUGAGAUUGUGUAACAAGAUAACUACGUCUUCGUGCCUUGUUACUUUUUCUAUGGAAGAUUUGUAAGAGUUUGUUUGAAGGUUCACACAUUGGAGCAGGGGGGCGUGAUUGGUUAAUCAUUAAAAUUGUAACACAAACAGAUCCUUGUGUAACAGAUCAUUACUUUUUCUAUGGAAGUUUUUUCUAUGUUUGACACCU